rnacentral:rRNA from 1 species
GCAGCAGCCGCGGUAAUACAGAGGGUGCAAGCGUUAAUCGGAAUUACUGGGCGUAAAGCGCGCGUAGGUGGUUUGUUAAGUUGGAUGUGAAAUCCCCGGGCUCAACCUGGGAACUGCAUCCAAAACUGGCAAGCUAGAGUAUGGUAGAGGGUGGUGGAAUUUCCUGUGUAGCGGUGAAAUGCGUAGAUAUAGGAAGGAACACCAGUGGCGAAGGCGACCACCUGGACUGAUACUGACACUGAGGUGCGAAAGCGUGGGGAGCAAACAGGAUUAGAUACCCCCGUAGUCCCUGUCUCUUAUAC